UACGGAGGAUCCGAGCGUUAUCCGGAUUUAUUGGGUUUAAAGGGAGCGUAGGUGGAUUGUUAAGUCAGUUGUGAAAGUUUGCGGCUCAACCGCAAAAUUGCAGUUGAAACUGGCAGUCUUGAGUACAGUAGAGGUGGGCGGAAUUCGUGGUGUAGCGGUGAAAUGCUUAGAUAUCACGAAGAACUCCGAUUGCGAAGGCAGCUCACUGGACUGCAACUGACACUGAGGCUCGAAAGUGUGGGUAUCAAACAGG
rnacentral:rRNA from 1 species